UACAGAGGUCUCAAGCGUUGUUCGGAUUCAUUGGGCGUAAAGGGUGCGUAGGCGGCUUGUCGCGUCGUCCGUGAAAACCUGCAGCUCAACUGCAGGCUUGCGGGCGAUACGGGCAGGCUAGAGUUCGGUAGGGGAGACUGGAAUUCCUGGUGUAGCGGUGAAAUGCGUAGAUAUCCGGAGGAACACCAAUGGCGAAGGCAGUGUCCUGGGAAGUACCUGACGCUCAGGUGCGAAAGCUAGGGGAGCGAACAGG
rnacentral:rRNA from 1 species